AUCAACGCUGGCGGCGCGCUCUUAACACAUGCAAGUCGAACGAGGAAGAAGGGGAGCAAUCCCUGAGUAAAGUGGCGUUACGGGUGAGUAACACGGUGGGUAAUCCACCUCCGGGUUCGGAAAUAACCCUGGGAAACCGGGGCUAAUACCGGAUGAGCUCUUGGGAGGAAAAGGCGGAAAGUCGCCGGGAGAGGAUGCCCGCGGCCGAAUUAGCUAGUUGGUAGGGUAACGGCCUACCAAGGCGAUGAUCGGUAGCCGGCCUGAAGAGGGCAACACGGCCCACACUGGCACUGAAACACGGGCCAGACUCCUACGGGAGGCAGCAGUGGGGAAUCUUUGCACAAUGGGGGAAACCCUGAUGCAGCGACGCCGCGUGAGCGAUGAAGCCCUUCGGGGUGUAAAGCUCUUUCGGCCCGGAACGAUAAUGACGGUACCGGCAGAAGAAGCUGCGGCUAACUACGUGCCCAGCAGCCGCGGGUAAUACGUAGGCAGCGAGCGUUGUUCGGAGUUACUGGGCGUAAAGAGUGCGUAAGGCGGUGGCCUAAGUCUGGUGUGAAAUCUCCCGGCUCAACUGGGAGGGUGCGCCGGAAAACUGGGUUGCUGGAGUUGUGGGAGAGGUCAGCGGAAUUCCUGGUGUAGCGGUGAAAUUGCGUAGAUAUCAGGAGGAACACCUGCGGUUGUAGACGGCUGACUGGACCAUGACUGACGCUGAGGCACGAAAAGCGUGGGGAGCAAACAGGAUUAGAUACCCUGGUAGUCCACGCCCUAAACGAUGCAUAACUUGGUGUGGGUGAUUCAUUUCAUCCGUGCCGGGAGCUAAACGCGUUAAGUAUGGCCGCCUGGGGAGUACGGUCGCAAGGCUUGAAACUCAAAGGAAUUGACGGGGGCCCGCACAAGCGGUGGAGCAUGUGGUUUAAUUCGACGCAACGCGAAGAACCUUACCUGGGCUCGAACGGCUGGCCCAACGGUGGUGGGAAACACUGCUAUCCCGCAAGGGAGUCCAGUCGAGGUGCUGGCAUGGCUGUCGUCAAGCCUCGUGUCGUGAGAUGUUGGGGUUUAAGUCCCCGCAACGAGCGCAACCCUUGUCCUGUGUUGCUAUUCCGAAAGGGAAGCACUCUCAGGAGACCGCCAGCCGGAUAAGUUGGAGGAAGGUGGGGAUGACGUCAAGUCAUCAUGGCCUUUAUGUCCAGGGCUACACACGUGCUACAAUGGGCGGUAACAAACCGUUGCAAACCCGCGAGGGGGAGCUAAUCGGAGAAAAAACCGUUCUCAGUUCGGAUUGCAGGCUGCAACUCGCCUGCAUGAAGCUGGAAUCGCUAGUAAUGGCAUAUCAGAACUAUGCCGUGAAUACGUUUCCCGGGCCUUGUACACACCGCCCGUCACAUCACGAAAGUGGGUUGUACUAGAAGUCCGUGGGCUGACCCGCAAGGGGAGCAGCGGCCCAAGGUAUGACUCAUGAUUGGGGUG
rnacentral:rRNA from 1 species